CGUGUAGGCUGCAAUGUAAGUCAGAUGUGAAAGCCCUUGGCUCAACCAAGGAAGUGCAUCUGAUACUGCGUCGCUUGAGUGUCGGAGGGGGUGGCGGAAUUCCCGGUGUAGAGGUGAAAUUCGUAGAUAUCGGGAGGAACACCUGUGGCGAAGGCGGCCACCUGGACGACAACUGACGCUGAGACGCGAAAGCGUGGGUAGCAAACA
rnacentral:rRNA from 1 species